rnacentral:sRNA from 1 species
AAGAAAACAUGUUUUAUCUAUAAAAUCUUUGCUCCCAAAUUGAAAAAAAUAAAUAAAUUCAAUUGUUUUUGUGAACAAAUUUGGCGCUUUGCGAUUGCUUCUGAGUUUUUUCCUUCCAAUGGAAGUGCCUAAAAAAGAAAACCAGAAUUCCAACGACUCCGAGGCAACCGUGGCUCCAAUCGGCUGUUGCAGGUCAUUGUUGCAGGAAUUUUGUAUAUUUUUGAUAUUCUUAUCAAUGGCUAUACUCAUAUUCUCGGCCUUAUUCUCGGUGUUAAAUGGAUUUGGGCUGCUUAAAGCCAAUGGACAGGCACGUCCCCUAAGUUCCUGCCCGUGGCCCCCAGAAUGGUGUAUCUUCUUAAACAAGAAGCCCCAGCAAAAGCAAGCAUUGAUAUUGGUGGUUCCGCACUCGGAGCAGUUGCAGCAAAAUCAUAUUUUGGAUAAUAUUUCCAAAGCCACAUAACGAAAAAUGGUAUAUGCAUCGCCUUGUUGUCAGUGGGCGCAUCGUUCUUGUUUCAACUCUAGCAGUAUCAACAUGAGUUCCUAGCUGUCCGGUCGUUCCGGGCAAUGGAUAAAGACACUGACCUAUGUUAAUAUAAUCAAAACACAAAGUAUCCACAUAUCUCAAUUAAACGCAUCUAUGAGAAGCAGUCCGUAACCCAGUAGUUAAGCUGCAAACGACGAUUUACUCAAACACUACAAACCACAAUCUUAUUACAUACAGGUCCCCUUCUAACUAAGUUAAUCAAGUAUGUAAAUAAAUGUAAUUAAAUGUAA